ACUUCGCGAGCCCUGGCCGUGAGCACAGCGCGUCUGCAGGUCCUUUCUCCUGCUUUUCCCUUUCCCCUCCUGCUUUUCCUGGCGACAGGGUGAUCAGAGACGGGGAGCGAGGAGCCUCCCAGAGCCCUUCUCCCCUUGGCAGCCUCCGGCCGCAUCCAAGACCUCGGCCCAGCAAACGCAGCCUCCCUGCGUGGCACAGAGAUGACAGCGCUGAGACCAGAUGAACGGAUUACCGGACGACACCCAGCAAGUCCAGUAUUUCCCGAAAAAGCCAAUCAUCAACUUAACCCCAGAUGAUGGCUGGGGGAAUUGAGCGCUCUACCGGAAAGACGCAGGUUUGGGAGAGAAGCAAGAUCUUCCGUCCCAAGCGUGGAACGACUGUGCUCAGAACUGGGAACCCAGGACACAGAAUGAAUGGCUGACCUGCCUUGUACGCUGUGGACAUUUGCUCUCGAGGCCCGGGAUGUCCGCUGCCCAGCAGCUGCAAGCCGGCCCGCCUGUGGCACGAUGGGCUCAGAUUCAUCCAUGCGGGAGACCCUGUCGCAAUUGCCUUCCGUGUCACGGCCGAACGACAUUCCGCCCUGUGGAUAGACCACAUCUCGUUUAUCCAGCGCAUCCGUUGCUGAACUUCUGGGUUCGUCUCCACCUUUGGCCAUUGUGAAGAGUGCUGCUGUGAACAGCAGCGUACAGGUAUUUGUUGGCGUCCCUGACGUCAAUUCUUUCAGAAGUAGAAUUCCUGGAUUCAACGCUAAUUCUAUGUUUAGGCUUUUGAGAAAACGCUAAACUCUUCUCCAGGGUGGCUGCACCGUCUCUCAUUCCUACCAACAAUGCACAAGGGUUUAUUUCUCUGCAUCUUGUCCAACACUCGUUAAAAUUUUUCCAUUAAAAUUAAAAAAAAACCCUAGCCAUCCCAUUGGGUGUGAAGUGGUACCUCACUGUGGAUUCGAGUGGCAUUUCCCUAAGGGCUGAUGAUGCUGAGCAUAUUUUCAUGUGCUUGUGGGCCAUUUCUGUAGCGUCUUUGGAGAAAUGUCCAUUCAAGUGCUAGGCCCAUUUUUGAACUGGGCUGUUUCUUUUGUUGUUGUUGGGCUGUUUUGGCAUUAUGUUUGAAUUUUAAAAAUAUUGCAUUAAAUUGUCACCCACUGCUGAGGUUUUUGGUUCCUCCUUAAAUUUCGCACGAGGAAAUUUUGUUUCACCUCAAGGAGACGAGUUCCUGGAGGGGAGGGUGAGCCCAGGAGGGGAGGAGAGCGGAGGGUGGACCCUGGGCCUUCUCAUGGCUGCCAUGAAGCUACCCUUUAGUAUUAUUAUUAUUUUGUCUUUUUAGGGCCUCGCCCUCAGCAUAUGGAGGUUCCUAGACUUGGGAUUGAAUCCGAGCUGCAGCUGCUGGCCUACACCCCAGCCACAGCAACACGGGAUCCGAGCUGUGUCUGUGAUCUACACCACAGCCACAGCCAUGCGGGAUCCUUAACCCACUGAUCGAGGCCAGGGAUGGAACCCGCGCCCUCAUGGAUCCUAGUCCGGUUUGUUAACUGCUACUCCACCUGCAACCUUUAGUAGGGACUGUGCCCAGACACGUGCCUUCCACACAUGGUUUAUUACAGACAAGAAGGAAUGGGCGGGGCUCCGUGCCUGGGCAGCCCCUGGGGUGGGGGGAAGCUGCAGACGUGGCACUGAGGAUGGUGAGGCAGGGUGACCAGGGGGAGUUGGGGGCAGCCACACCAGCUUCUCAGGGAAGCUGGACGAGGAGGACCAAGCGGCUCUGGACCCCACAGAGAGGAAGCCCCAAAGACAGUACAGACUCACCCCUCCAGCCCCCCCAAAGCUGGACCUGCUGGGCUCUUCCAGGCCCGUGUGGCCAAGUACGCCCACCGCAUCCAGGCAGAUGGGUCUGCUCAAGAGGCCCACGCCCCACGCUCAAACCACCCGGCUUUUCCAAAGGACUCGUGCCCCUUCCUGCAUCCUGGGCAACGUGUGAUGUAUCCAUCACCACGGCCGAGCCCAAAGGCGGUGGCAGUGUGGUCCCACCUCUCCAAGGGACAGAGAGAAUGUCAGAUUCUCACCAGAAUCCAACCCACACCCCAGCACUGCUAACACCAAACUGUACCCGUUUGUUCGGGCUCCUGGCCAGCCUCCUGAAACGUGUGGUUAUCCGGGUCAUGAAUAAACACAUCAGCUGGACUUUGUUCUUUCUGGGACGCCCAGCUGAAACACCACAUUCAAAUCUGAUAAAAAUGAUAAGUCUACAGAUCUGAGAGGUGCAGAGAAUGUGAAGGAGAAUAAAUACAAAGAAAACCACACCAAGAUAUAUCACGAUCAAUUUUAUGAAGCCAGAGUUAAAGAGAAAAUCCUAAAUGCAGCCAGAGAAGAACGAGACCCACGGAGGGACCAUGUGAAAAUGAGAGUAUAAGCUUUUGCGAAACCAUGUGAGCAGGAAGUCAGUGGGUCACAUCUUUAAAACAGAGGGAGAGGGAGUUUCCGUUGUGGCUCAUUGGUAAUGACUAAUAUCCCUGCGGACCCGGGGUUGACCCCGGGCCUCACUAGUGGCUUAAGGAUCCAGCGUUGCCGUGAGCUUUGGUGUAGGUCGCAGACAUGGCUCAGAUCCCAUGUGGCUGGGGCGGUGGUGUAGGCCAGCUGCUACAGCUCCGAUUCGACCCCUAGCCUGGGAACCUCCGUAUGCGGCGGGUGCAACCCUGAAAAGACCAAAAAAUAAAAGAAAUAAAUAAACGAAACAGAGAAAGAAACUGUUCAUCUAGAUGCCUCUAUUCUGCAAAGGCCUCUUUCAAAAAUGAAGGCAAAAUAAAGAGUUUUAAUUUAAGACACCGGCAGACUGGCCCUACAGGCACUAUUAAAGGAAGUUAACAUGAAAGGAGGCAGAAAGAAAAUGCUGUCAGACGGAAAGCCAAGCCGAAUGUACAAAAAAAGAGUGAAAAGGACCCGAAGCGGCAACUGUGUAGACCAGUGUAAACAGUUCUUUUAGAAAAACAAACGAAAGCUCUUUCAGAGCGAUUGCUCCCAGUGAUAUUUGUGGCAUCCCGGCAGGUCUUAAGUGUUAUUUAAAAACUUGAUUAAAUAUAUUUAAAUUAUGGAUGUCAUAUAUACUCCGUUUAUCUGGAUACAAAUAAAAACUUAAUAAACUCUUCAAUCUAGUCCCUGAAAGAAAUAAUGUUUGAUAUUUAACCUUCCAUACAUUUUAUAUGUAAAAACAAACAUGUAUAAACACGUAUGGAAUAUAAAUUCUUAUUUUACAUGACAGAGUUAACAUUAUUCUAACUGAAUUUAAAAACACUCAUUAAAAGAAAAAUUUGCCUUAACUUUCAAUCUCCUCAAAAGACAAUUGAUCAUGUAAAACAAAAUAUCCACAGGAUACUCUGAGGCUUGUUAUGUAUUGAAAGGUAAAAUAAUCUAUGACAACAAUAGCACACGGGAUAGGAGGAGGAAAUGAAAAUAUAUUCUCAUAAGAUACAGCCUAUGUGAAGGGGUACAGCAUUUGAAGGUAGACUGUGAUAACUUAGACAGGUAUCUUUUAAAUCCUGGAGUGGCUCCUAAAAAUUAGAACAAAGAGAUGUAGUUUAGUAGAUAUCGGUGGAGAGAAUGGACUAAAAAAACCACAAUUAACUGUAAAGAAGGAAGGGAAAAAGGAGCAAAGGACAGAUGAGACAAAUAAAAAACAGAUGGAAAGAUGAUAGCCUGACAUCCAAUGACACUGAUAAUUAUAUUAAAUGUCACUAUAAUACAUUUAAAUACUUCAAUAAAAGGCAGAGAUUGCGACCCUGAGAUAAAAAAGCAAACCUUGGAGUUCCCUCAUGGCUCAUUGGGUUAAGGAUCUGCCAUUUUUACUGCUGUGGCUCAGGUUACAGCUGUGGUGCAGGUUCAAUCCCUGACCUGAGAACUUCUGAAUACUAUAGGCGUGCCCCCCCCCCCAAAAAAAGGCAAGGCUCAAUUAUAUGUUGCUUAUAGGAAACCCAUUUAAUAUCAUAUAAUAGCACUUAUAUCUGGAAUCUAAAAAUGGCACAAAUAAACCUUUCCACAGAAAAGAAACUCAUGGACUUUGGAGAACAGACUUGUGGUUGCCAAGGGGGAGGGGGAGAGAGUGGGAUGGACUAGGAAUCUGGGGUUAAUAGAUGCAAACUGUUGCAUUUGGAAUGGAUAAGCAAUGAGAUGCUGCUGUGUAGCACUGGGAACUAUAUCUAGUCACUUGUGAUGGAGCAGGAUCAUGUGAGAAAAAGAAUGUUUACAUGUAUGUGUGACUGGGUC
rnacentral:lncRNA from 1 species